rfam:Beauveria bassiana ARSEF 2860 unplaced genomic scaffold BBA_S00034, whole genome shotgun sequence.
UUGUCUUCUGCCACGCUCGAUCACGCAGCUGCCCGUCUGUUGAUCUUGAGCCGGAUACUCGCGGCCCUUGGGCAGCCAGUACAAGACAAGAUCAAACCCCAGGCAAUGCUUUUUGAGUACGGAACCUUCCAGUGUCUAUUUAGCGUAUGAAGGCCUCCGUAAUUUAUCUAUUGUCACAAAA